rnacentral:rRNA from 1 species
GUGAAACCGUUCGGGGGUAAACGGACAGAGCCUGUGAAUCCGGGUGCGUGGAAUUCAGGAUCGACGAGGAAUUCAGUUUCUUGUCGAUUCGAUUUUUCCAUCACCGACCCUCAACCGAGGGUGUCGGACAUCGCGACCCGUUUGCUUAGUCGAUGCUUAGGUACGUGAUAAAGUUCGUAUGUGCCAUCGCCUCGGCGGUGGUACGACGAUUACGCGUUACCAAUGCGUCGGCGCAGACGGUAGCUUUGCGCGUGGGUAAUCGGCGCGGUCCUUGCYUGUAUUCUCGUAAUGCAGGCGGUACUCGCGUCGACACCGGUCAGCGAUGAAUUUUCAGGUCUCUUUCCGACCCGUCUUGAAACACGGACCAAGGAGUCUAGCGUGCGCGCGAGUCGCGGGGCAUUCGAAGUGUCGUAGCUGCUYACGCAGCGAAUGCAUUUCGUAAUGAUACKAAACCCGUAUACGUGCAUUGURCGAAGGCGUAAUGAAAGUGAAAGGCGACGCUUCGUGCGUCGCCAGGGGAAGAUGAUGUUCUGUGUACACGUUUCGCGGUCGAGUAUGUAUCGCGACCAGACAUCCGCAUUCCCAGGGCAUCCUAUCCGUUCGCCUGUGACUGGGGUUCGCCUCGGYCGCAGGUGAAUUGGGGUGCACCUACAGCGUGCACGCUGGUACCCGAAAGAUGGUGAACUAUGCCUGGCCAGGAUGAAGUCAGGGGAAACCCUGAUGGAGGUCCGCAGCGAUUCUGACGUGCAAAUCGAUCGUCUGAGCUGGGUAUAGGGGCGAAAGACUAAUCGAACCAUCUAGUA